rnacentral:rRNA from 1 species
GACGAACGCUGGCGGCGCGCCUAACACAUGCAAGUCGAACGGAGUUUAUCCGACUGAAGUUUUCGGAUGGAAGAUGGAUAAACUUAGUGGCGGACGGGUGAGUAACACGUGAGCAACCUGCCUUUCAGAGGGGGAUAACGAUUGGAAACGAUCGCUAAUACCGCAUAACAUUAUGAGGAGACAUCUUCUUAUAAUCAAAGGAGCAAUCCGCUGAAAGAUGGGCUCGCGGCCGAUUAGCUAGAUGGCGGGUAACGGCCACCAUGGCGACGAUCGGUAGCCGGACUGAGAGGUUGAACGGCCACAUUGGGACUGAGACACGGCCCAGACUCCUACGGGAGGCAGCAGUGGGGGAUAUUGCACAAUGGGAGGAAACUCUGAUGCAGCGACGCCGCGUGA